GAAAAUCAGAUUGAACGCUGGCAGGAUGCGCUACAUGCAAGUCGAACGGCGGCACGGACUUCGGUCUGGUGGCGAGUGGCGAACGGGUGAGUAAUGUAUCGGAACGUGCCUGGUAGCGGGGGAUAACUACGCAAGCGUGGCCAUGCCACAUACACCCUUCGGAAAGCGGGGACCUUCAGGCCUCGCACUGUCAAACGGCAGUACUGUCCAGUUAGCCCCAGUUGGUGGGGUAACGGCUCGCAAGGCGACGAUCAUCGCUGGUUUGAGAGGACGACCAGCCACACUGGGACUGAGACACGGCCCAGACUCCUGCAGGAGAGCAGCAGUGAAAUUUUUGGACAAUGAGGGAAACCUGAUCAGCCAUCCGCGUAUUGCGAUGAAGGCCUUCGGGUUGUAAAGCACUUUUUGGCAGAGAAAAGAAACGGCACGGGAUAAUACCCGUGCAACUGACAGUACCUGCAGAAUAAGCACCGGCUAACUACGUGCCAGCAGCCGCGUGUACGUAAGGUGCAAGCGUUAAUCGGAAUUACUGGAAGGCGUAAAGCGUGCGCAGGCGGUUCGGAAAGAAGAUGUGAAAUCCGGAAAACUAACUUUUGGAACUGCGUACAACUACUGAGCUAGAGUGUGUCAGAGAGUGGAAUUCCGCGUGUAGCAGUGAAAUGCGUGAAUGUGCAGGAGGAACACCGAUAGCGAAGGCAGCCUCCUGGGAUAACACUGACGCUCAUGCACGAAAGCAGUAAGGGCAAACAGGGAUUAGAUACCCGCAGUCCACUUUUCGCUUGAUGUCAACUGGCUGUUGGGGCCUUUGGUGCCAGUAGCGCAGCUAACGCGUGAAGUUGACCGCCUGGGAAAUACGGUCGCAAGAUUAAAACUCAAAGGAAUUGACGGGGACCCGCACAAGCGGUGGAUGAUGUGGAUUAAUUCGGUACAGCACUUGAAAACCUUACCUACCCUUGACAUGUCUGGAAUCCCGAAGAGGUUGGGAGUGCUCGCAAGAGAACCGGAACACAGGUGCUGCAUGGCUGUCGUCAGCUCGUGUCGUGAGAUGUUGGGUUAAGUCCCACCAGGCACCAGCCUUAAUCGUCAGUUGCUACGAAGGGCACUCUAAUGGGGGCUGCCGGUGACAGGCCAUGGGAGGGAAGAGUGCAGGGGAUGACGUCAAGUCCUCAUGGCCCUUAUGGGUAGGGCUUCACACGUCAUACAAUGGUCGGGACAGAGGGUCGCCAGCCCCGCGAGGGAGGCCAAUCCCAGAAACCCGAUCGUAGUCCGGAUCGCAGUCUGCAACUCGACUGCGUGAAGUCGAUCAUGGUAAUCGCGGAUCAGCAUGUCGCGGUGAAUACGUUCCCGGGUCUUGUACACACCGCCCCGUCACACCAUGGGGAGUGGGUUUUUACCAGAAGUAAUAACCGUAAGGAGGGCGAUUACCACGGUAGGAUUCAUGACUGGGGUGAAGUCGUAACAAGGUAG
rnacentral:rRNA from 1 species